ACAUUCGUUGGCAAAACAUUUUAUCGGUUCAUUUUACUUCUCUUUUGAUACAUAAUCAGAUCAGGUGAUAACUAUAUUAUGAUAUGUGUACCUUUCAAUUUUCUAAGAAUUCAAAUAUCAUAAAAUAGUGUUUUAUUUUUUGUUCUAAUGGAUACUCCAUUUUGUUCAUUGUCUAUUGCCUUUUAUCUUCGUUUGUCAUCGUCUGUUAACAAUUUUACAUUAAUUUUUAACUUCUUGAAAACUAUUAAAAGACCAAUUGUUACCAUUUUUGGUUUGAAGCAUCUAAAAUAUAAAGGGUAUCUAAAUUGUGUUUAUGACCUUACGACAGGGCCAAAGAAUGACAAAUUUCAAAAAUCUCCUUCUUUACUUCAAGGCAUGUGGCAAAAAAAAAUAUAAAUGCAUGAAGUCCAUAAAGCCAUCUACCAAUAUUGUAAAAUUCAUGGCACCAAGGUCAGGGGUUCAAUAUGGCCAUAUAACAAAAAUAUAUUAAAUCUUCUUCUCUAAUCCCAUAUAGUUAAUGUACUAUUUUUGUCAGUCUAUAAUGUAUGUACUUAUCAUGUUCCUAUGUUAUGUUUUAAUAUGAAAACCGUUGAGACGAUUGUCUUACGGAAAUAAAGAACUUGAAAAUGUAUUUGAUUAGGUCAAUGGGUCACUAGGGUGGCUGACCUAUUGUCGUUGAUCAGGCGUCGUCCGUUAACAGUUUUACAUUUUAACAUCUUGAAAGCUACAAGGACUUAGGUAAAUUGUUACUUGGUCAUGUUUUAUUAAAAUAUAUAUUCUUUUAAGAAUCUAAUUUCAUUUCCUUUGCAGUGUGUUUGCUAGUAGCAAUAAAUUGUAUGCAUGUUGUGUGCAUUAUAAAUGUAACUGUGAAUAUUAUUAAAGACUGACCAUU
rnacentral:misc_RNA from 1 species